rnacentral:lncRNA from 1 species
UCCAGUUGUCUACGAAACCUCACGUGGUCCAGUUGAUCUACGGAAACCCUCAAGUGGUCCAGUUGAUCUACGGAACCUCACGGGGCCCAGUUGAUUUACUGAACUGCACGUGGUCCAGUUGAUCUACGGAACCUCACGUGGCCCAGUUGAUCUACGGAACCCUCACGUGGUCCAGUUGAUCUACGGAACCUCAAGUGGUUCCAGUUGAUCUACGGAACCUCACGUGGCCCAGUUGAUUUACUGAACUGUACGUGGCCCAGUUAUUUUACUGAACGCGCAUGUGGACCAGUUGAUUUACUGAACUGCAUGUGGACCAGUUGAUUUACUGAACUGCACGUGGCCCCAGUUUGAUUUACUGAACUGUACGUGGCCCAGUUGAUUUACUGAACUGUACGUGGCCGUUGAUUUACUGAACUGCACAUGGCCCAGUUGAUCUACUGAACCUCACGUGGCCCAGUUGAUUUACGGAACUGUACGUGGCCAGUUGAUUAUACUGACUGCACAUGACAUGGCCCAGUUGAUUACUGAACCGCAUGUUGGCCCAGUUGAUUUACUGAACUGUACGUGGCCCAGUUGAUCUACUGAACCUCACGUGGCCCAGUUGAUUUACUGAACGGCACGUGGACCAGUUGAUUUACGUGAACGGCACGUGGCCCAGUUGAUUUACUGAACUGUACGUGGCCCAGUUGAUUAACUGAACUGCACAUGGCCCAGUUGACUACUGAACCUCAUGUGGCCCAGUUGAUUUACUGAACUGUAGUGGCCCAGUGGAUCGUACUGAACCUCCGGUGGCACCAUUGAUUUACUGAACUGCAUGUGGCCCAGUUGAUACUGAACUGCAACGUGGCCCAGUUGAUUUACGAAAUGUACGUGACGUUGAUUUACUGAACUGCACGUGGCCCAGUUGAUUUCGGGCCCCGAGUGGCUGCGGUCUAAGGCAUUUCACUGCUAGAGGCGUCACUACAAACCCUGGUGUCGAUUCCAGGCGGUAUCACAACCGACCUUUAUUGGGGAGUCCCAUAGGCAGCGCACAAUUGGCCCAGCGUUGUCCGGGUUAGGGUUUGAACCAGGAGGGGCCCUUCAUUGUAAAUAAGAAUUGGUUCU